ensembl:misc_RNA Metazoa_SRP Metazoan signal recognition particle RNA
GCUGGGCAUGGUGGUGCAUGCCUGUAAUCCCAGCUACUCAGGAGGCUGAGGCAGGAGAAUCGCUUGAACUCGGGAGGUGGAGGUUGCAGUGAGCCAAUAUCACGUCACUGCACUCCAGCCUGGGUGACAGAGAGAGACUCUGUCUCAA